GAUGAACGCUGGCGGCGUGCCUAAUACAUGCGAGUCGAGCGAACGGACGAGAAGCUUGCUUCUCUGAUGUUAGCGGCGGACGGGUGAGUAACACGUGGAUAACCUACCUAUAAGACUGGGAUAACUUCGGGAAACCGGAGCUAAUACCGGAUAAUAUUUUGAACCGCAUGGUUCAAAAGUGAAAGACGGUCUUGCUGUCACUUAUAGAUGGAUCCGCGCUGCAUUAGCUAGUUGGUAAGGUAACGGCUUACCAAGGCAACGAUGCAUAGCCGACCUGAGAGGGUGAUCGGCCACACUGGAACUGAGACACGGUCCAGACUCCUACGGGAGGCAGCAGUAGGGAAUCUUCCGCAAUGGGCGAAAGCCUGACGGAGCAACGCCGCGUGAGUGAUGAAGGUCUUCGGAUCGUAAAACUCUGUUAUUAGGGAGGAACAUAUGUGUAAGUAACUGUGCACAUCUUGACGGUACCUAAUCAGAAAGCCACGGCUAACUACGUG
rnacentral:rRNA from 1 species